rnacentral:rRNA from 2 species
AGCUCCAGUAGCGUAUAUUAAAGCUGUUGCAGUUAAAAAGCUCGUAGUUGGAUCUUGGGCCCAGGCCUGCGGUCCGCCGUGAGGCGAGUACUGCAGUCCUGGCCUUCCUCUCGGUUUUCGCCCGGUGCUCUUAACUGAGUGCCAGGAGAGGCCGGAACGUUUACUUUGAAAAAAUUGGAGUGUUCAAAGCAGGCCUCGCGCCUGAACAGCAGAGCAUGGAAUAAUGGAAUAGGACCUCGGUUCUAUUGCGUUGGUUUUCGGAACUCGAGGUAAUGAUUAAGAGGGACUGACGGGGGCAUUCGUAUUGCGGUGUGAGAGGUGAAAUUCUUGGAUCGCCGCAAGACGACCGACUGCGAAAGCAUUUGCCAAGAAUGUUUUCA